rnacentral:rRNA from 1 species
UACGUAGGUGGCAAGCGUUGUCCGGAAUUACUGGGCGUAAAGGGCGCGUAGGCGGCUUGGUCAGUCCCGUGUGAAAUCCCUCGGCUCAACUGAGGAACUGCACGGGAAACUGCCUGGCUUGAGUUCGGGAGAGGGAAGCGGAAUUCCGGGUGUAGCGGUGAAAUGCGUAGAUAUCGGAAGGAACAUCAGUGGCGAAAGCGGCUUCCUGGACCAGUACCGACGUUCAGGCACGAAAGCGUGGGGAGCAAACAGG